UGGAUCCUACGGGGCGCAGCAGGGGGGAAUAUUGCACAAUGGGGGAAACCCUGAUGCAGCAACGCCGCGUGAGAGAAGAAGUAUUUCGGUAUGUAAAGCUCUAUCAGCAGGGAAGAAAAUGACGAUACCUGAGUAAGAAGCCCCGGCUAACUACGUGCCAGCAGCCGCGGUAAUACGUAGGGGGCAAGCGUUAUCCGGAUUUACUGGGUGUAAAGGGAGCGUAGACGGCGAUGCAAGUCUGAAGUGAAAGCCCGGGGCUCAA
rnacentral:rRNA from 1 species